rnacentral:rRNA from 1 species
GACGAACGCUGGCGGCGUGCUUAACACAUGCAAGUCGAACGAUGAAGCCGGAGCUUGCUCCGGUGGAUUAGUGGCGAACGGGUGAGUAACACGUGAGCAAUCUGCCCUUGACUCUGGGAUAACUGCGGGAAACUGUAGCUAAUACCGGAUACGACACCUUGGGGCAUCCCAGGGUGUGGAAAGAAUUUCGGUCAAGGAUGAGCUCGCGGGCUAUCAGCUAGUUGGUGAGGUAAUGGCUCACCAAGGCGACGCCGGGUAGCCGGCCUGAGAGGGUGACCGGCGACACUGGAACUGAGACACGGUCCAGACUCCGACGGGAGGCAGCAGUGGGGAAUAUUGCACAAGGGGCGAAAGCCUGAUGCAGCAACGCCGCGUGAGGGAUGAAGGCCCUCGGGUUGUGAACCUCUUUUAGCAGGGAAGAAGCGAAAGUGACGGUACCUGCAGAAAAAGCACCGGCUAACUACGUGCCAGCCGCCGCCGUAA